GACGAACGCUGGCGGCGUGCUUAACACAUGCAAGUCGAACGGAAAGGCCCUGCUUUUGUGGGGCGCUCGAGUGGCGAACGGGUGAGUAACACGUGAGUAACCUGCCCUUGACUUUGGGAUAACUUCAGGAAACUGGGGCUAAUACCGGAUAGGAGCUCCUGCUGCAUGGGGGGGGUUGGAAAGUUUCGGCGGUUGGGGAUGGACUCGCGGCUUAUCAGCUUGUUGGUGGGGUAGUGGCUUACCAAGGGUUUGACGGGUAGCCGGCCUGAGAGGGUGACCGGCCACAUUAGGACUGAGAUACGGCCCAGACUCCUACGGGAGGCAGCAGUGGAGAGUAUUGCAGAAUGAGCGGAAGCCUGAUGCAGCAGCGCCGCGUGCGGGAUGACGGCCUUCGGGUUGUAAACCGCUUUCGCCUGUGACGAAGCGUGAGUGACGGUAAUGGGUAAAGAAGCACCGGCUAACUACGUG
rnacentral:rRNA from 1 species